UUCGUUUGAUGGAUAGCAAUUUCAGGCUUUGUUCUCCGAUGUCAAGAGUAUUUAUAAACAGCUUACGACAGACCCUCCUCAAAGAAAGGACUAAAAGAAGGAAGCUACGAUAUCGACCCUGGCGGAUAUAGACUGCGUUUCCUCGCAGCCGAGCCGCCGCGAUGCGAUAGCUGUGCAUUGCAAGGCACAUCCUUGCCGCGUACUGACUACGUCAGGGGUGCAGGCGAAGCUUGAGCGGGGACGCUGCGAUCUGCGAGGUUGCUGCACAUCAAAGUAAUCCAACCUCACCUCGUUAUUCGUUCCAGCGAACAGAAAUACGCCCUUCUCAGCUGUAUAAUGUAACCAUUAUGUAUGAUUAAGCUUAUUAAU